AAUAUAUCUUCUUCUUUUUCUUU
rnacentral:sRNA from 1 species